UUCAAGUUUUACCGGAAGUUACCAGUAUCUGACGUCACAGUUGGUGAAUACAACAGAGGGUGCAAGACUUAUGUCCUACUUAGAAGCUUCAUUCAUAGGACAGGGCAGGACAAGGACUUGCAACAUGUUCCAGUACCGGUGCCGUACCAGAACAGAAGAGAUGAUCAACUACGACGCCCUCUGCCUUUGGAGAGAGAUGGUACGCUGGUUGACUGUCCACGUAAUCGCCAAGGCUCAUUAGCGGCUAUCAACAUACACGCUUAUUACUACAAUUAAAUAGUGUAUAGACGAAGGUAAAUUACCUGUAGAUAGAAAUAUACGUAUAAGAAAGGCAAAUAUCAAAAUGUGACUUUUCUGUUUCAGAAAAUCAAAUAUCUUCUGUCUUACGUGUUGAGAAAUAUUGUGAUGGCUUUAAAUAAGAUAACUCUAUGAAGCUUG